CAAGCUCACAUCUCUUACUCGUGACUAUUUCAGUAUGGAAACAUUCACGGGUACUGUCGUGGCUGAACUAUGUCCCCCUACCCCCCAAGAGUUCAUAUUGAACUCUUAAUCCUCCAAACCACAGAAGAGGAGAUUAGGGUCCAGGCAUUCUCAGAGGAAGACAUGGCGAUGGAGGAUUGGGCAUCUUGAAACCAGAGGGGCUCCGCAAGAAACCAGCGGCACCAACGCCGGUUCAGUGCUCUUGGACCUUCCAGUACAAGGAUGGUGAGGGGGCCGCUAAAGGGAGCUACCAAUGAGCAGAUGCCUGCAGAGGAAAUGCUGGCUCAGGAUCCAGGAGGAAACAGAGAGCCAACACUGUAUCCCAGGCUCCAGGCUCCAGGCUCCAAGCCCUCUGUGGAAUUAAAAUCGCCUUGAGGACACGCGCUUCAACCCUCACCUAAGAAGAGAGAAGCACAGCAGAGCUCGUGUUUACCGUAUCCUUCCUCUCCUCUCUUCAACUUUUCUUUCUUUCCUGCACCACCGCUCCAUGGUGGGAAACACCCAUCUUCCCUGCCUUGGGAGAGUUAGACCUACAGGCACCAACUAACUUGCCAAGGGCAACAGUAGAAACUCAGACAAAAAAGGGAUUUUACUUGCAUGGAUAUUAAACCCCAGCAGGUUGAUGGGGAGGUGUAUAAAAGCAUUUCCUCACCAAGUGUUUGAAGAUGAGGGUAUCUAAAAUGAUUCUGAGGAUAAAGAUCUACCUGAAGACCUGGUUAAAUAUCUUUUAAAUGCGUGUGUGUGUGUGCGCGCGUGCGCGCGCGUGGACACACGGAUACACAGACACACAGACACACACACACACACACACACACACACGUAUGUGUACUUACGCUUUCCGUGGUGCAGAAAAACUGUACAAUCUAAUUCAAUCUAAAGAAAAUAAUCACUACCCAUAAGUGCACAAUCUAAAUAAAGCCACAUUUUGUAAUUAGAUGGA